AAUAUUGGUCAAUGGGAGCAAGCCUCAUCCAUCCAUGCCGCGUGAGUGAAGAAGGCUCUAGGGUAGUAAAGCACAUUCAAGUGGGAAGAAAAGGUAAUGGUUAAUAACCAUUAGUUUAAGCAGCACCGAAAAACUUCGUACCAGCAGCCGUGGUAAGACGGAGGGUGGGAGUGUUAAUAGGUAUUACUGGGAGUGAAGCGCGCGUAGGUUGUUUAAUAAGCAGGAUAAGAAAUCCCCGGGCUCAACGUAAGAACUGCAUCUUGAAUUGGUAGAGUAGAGUAUAGUAGAAAAUAGUGGAAUUUCAGGUGUAGCGAUGAAAUGAGUAGAUAUGUGAAGGAACAUCAGUGGGGAAGGCGAUUAUGUGGAUCAAUAAUGACACUGAGGUAGAAAGCGUGAGAGCAGACAGGAUUAGAUACCCUGGUAGUACACCCCGUA
rnacentral:rRNA from 1 species